GCGGUUAUACAAAAUAUACAAAUAAAUUUUAUUAUUUUGUAGUUAAAUUAUAAUUUAAUUAAAUUAAAAAUUUAUAAAUAAGGUGAAAUUUUUUAUAAGUUUAAAUUUAUUUAUAAGUUAGUUGAAGCUAUUAGAUUUAAUUUAUAAACUAGGAUUAGAUACCCUAUUAUUUUAAAAGUAAAUUAUAGAAAUUAGGUAGUAAUAGUUAUAUUCUUGAAACUUAAAAAAUUUGGCGGUAUUUUAAUCUAUUUAGAGGAAUCUGUUCCAUAAUCGAUAGUCCACGAUAAAUUUUACAUAAUUUUAUUUAGUUUGUAUAUCGUCGUUAUAAGAAAAUUUUAUAAGAAAUUUAAUUUUCUAGAAUUUAUAUAAUAAUGUAUUUCAGAUCAAGGUGCAGCUUAUAAUUAUGAGGAAAUGGGUUACAAUAAAUUUAUUUAUAAUGAAUAAUAAAAUGAAUAUUUUAUUUGAAGGUGGAUUUAAUAGUAAAUUAAAUUAUAUAGUUUAAUUGAUUUUAGUUCUAAAAUAUGCACAUAUCGCCCGUCGCUCUCUUUAUUUAAAAAGAGAUAAGUCGUAACAAAGUAGAUGUACUGGAAAGUGUAUCUAGAAUGAU
rnacentral:rRNA from 1 species